UUUUUUUUUUAUUUUCCCUUUAGCAUUAUGAGUGUGUUUGGUUUUAUAGUAGGUAAACUGAGAAUGAAGCUCUGUUUUGCAGUGGUUUGAUUGGCUAUAUCACACUCUUUGUUUCUUGUCCGUUGCAGAAAUCCUCUUCCCCGACACUACACCGUUUACUAGCAGAAUCUCGUCAGAUGGUUGCUGAUCUUGAGCUUAGCAUGGUGCUGCCAGCCCCUUAUAACAGCCCCAGAAAUCACAAUGAGCAGGUCCAGGUAGGUAACACAUUACAUAAAAAAACACAGUGGGUUGUUAUUGUUUUAAAUUUAAGGCAGAGUCACAAAUAUAGACGCAAGUUUUUCAAAUUUUUAUCAAUUCAAUUAUGCAUAUGCCCAAAUGACCUAAAUAUGUUUCACAUCACCGUUUAUGCAUUCGUGUUUGAGAUUCUCAUCCAAAAUGCAGGCUUUUCUUCUAUUUUUUACCAGCUACAUUUAGUCACUGUAUUUUACAGUUACUGUUCUCAUUUUGUGGUUCACAUAUUUAUUUUUUUAUACAACAGUAGGGAGUAAAUGUAAUAGGACUACAUUGCAAUGACCCUAUGUGUUUUUAUAGAAACAUAGAAUGUGACGGCAGAUAAGAACCAUUCGGCCCAUCUAGUCUGCCCAAUUUUCUAAAUACUUUCAUUAGUCCCUAGCCUUAUCUUAUAGUUAGGAUAGCCUUAUGCCUAUCCCACGCAUGCUUAAACUCCUUUACUGUGUUAACCUCUACCACUUCAGCUGGAAGGCUAUUCCAUGCAUCCACUACCCUCUCAGUAAAGUAAUACUUCCUGAUAUUAUUUUUAAACCUUUGUCCCUCUAAUUUAAGACUAUGUCCUAUUGUUGUGGUAGUUUUUCUUCUUUUAAAUAUAGUCUCCUCCUUUACUGUGUUGAUUCCCUUUAUGUAUUUAAAUGUUUCUAUCAUAUCCCCCCUACCGCGGCAACACUCCGGCUCUUGUAAGAGUGAACUCUAGCCCUGGAGCCACGGGCUAGAGUUCACUCUCACCACUGUGACCAUUCCUGGUGGUUGCAGUGGUGAGAGUGAACUCUAGCCCCAUACACACACUACCUCCCCACACACACUACCCCCCACACACAUACACUGCCCCCACACACACCAUACAUAUUCACACACUGCCACAUGCACACACACACCAUACACAUUUACACAUUGCCCCACAUACACACACACACAGCCCCCCCAACACAGAUAGCUACCCAUACACACAUUGCCACACACAAAUACACAGCCCCCCCAUACACACAUUGCUCCACACACCCUGCACACAACCUUUCACACAAACUGCACCUCUCACACAUUGCACCACUGCUCCUAUACCCUACUACAGCCCCAUAUCCCAGCAGACCCCAGGUAAGUUGUCAAACUGUUCCUAAAUGGUUUGACUACUUACUCUGGGAGGGGGUCCCGGCACUCCUGGCACCAUAAUCACUACACAGAGCAGUAGUGGUUAUUGUACAUGGAUUAUUUCUUUAAAUAAUCUAUAAGUGCUCCUCCCGCGAUCAGGCUCUGGAUCUGCCACUGGUAUAUAGGGGUGUAUAUAUCUCUACAUCAUGUAUAUUAAUGUGUGUAUUAAGCAUAUGUCUAUGAGUUGCUAGCCUGGGUAACCCCAGUUGCUAGCCUGGGUAACCUUUAGUGACCCGAGGUCUGACCCAAUUCCCUCCUUAACGGAGGAGGAAGAAAGAAGUCCAUACAUGAAGCCAUGCCAGGGUUCAGACUCUUAUCCCUGAAGACGUAGCAACAACAUCUCUAUGAGUCGCUUGCCUGGGUAACCUGUUUAGUGACUGGGGGUCUGACCUAACUCUCUCCCUCAGGGGAUGAAUGCAGUCCACGGUAUACCUGAGGCCCAGCUAGGGUUCAGCCUCUUAUCCCGGAAGACCAAUCUCUAUGAGAGAUACCAAGCCUGGGUACCCCCUUUCGUGACCCAGGGUCAGAUCCAGUCGCUCCCUCAGGAGAUGAAAGCAGUCCAUUGCAUACAUGCUGGGGUUCAGCCUCUUAUCCCUGAAGACCCAUCUCUCUGAGCUGCCAGCCUGGGUACCCCCUUUAGCAGGGCCAGACUGGCCCACCGGGGUACCGGGAAAUUUCCCGGUGGGCCGUCGGCACCUGGGGCCGGGCAGACACCUGGGUCUGCUGGCGGCCGCUGGGGGAGGUCUGCUGGCGGCCGCUGGGGGAGUUGCGAUGUCUCUGCUCCCCAGCGAGCAGCUAAUGAGACCGGGGCCGGAAUAUGACGACUAAAUAUAGUCUCCUCCUUUACUGUGUUGAUUCCCUUUAUAUAUUUAAAUGUUUCUAUCAUAUCCCCCCUGUCCCGUCUUUCCUCCAAGCUGUACAUGUUAAGAUCCUUUAACCUUUCCUGGUAAGUUUUAUCCCGCAAUCCAUGAACCAGUUUAGUAGCCCUUCUCUGAACCCUCUCUAAGGUAUCAACAUCCUUCUGAAGAUACGGUCUCCAAUACUGUGUACAAUACUCCAAGUGAGGUCUCACCAGUGUUCUGUACAAUGGCAUGAGCACUUCCCUCUUUCUACUGCUAAUGCCUCUCCCUAUACAACCAAACAUUCUGCUAGCAUUUCCUGCUGCUCUAUUACAUUGUCUGCCUACCUUUAAGUCAUCAGAAAUAUUCACCCCUAAAUCCCUUUCCUCAUAUGUUGAGGUUAGAACUCUAUCAAAUAUUCUGUACUCUGCCCUUGGGUUUUUACGUCCAAGAUGCAUUAUCUUGCACUUAUCCACAUUAAAUGUCAGUUGCCACAAUUCUGACCAUUUUUCUAGUUUACCUAAAUCAUUUGGCAUUUGGCUUAUCCCUCCUGGAACAUCAACCCUGUUACAUAUCUUAGUAUCAUCAGCAAUACCUUACCAUCAAGACCUUCUGCAAUAUCACUAAUGAAAAUAUUAAAGAGAAUGGGUCCAAGUACAGAUCCCUUAGGUACCCCACUGGUGACAAGUCCAAGCUUUGAAUAUAUUCCAUUAACUACAACCGUCUGUUGCCUGUCACUCAGCCACUUCCUUACCCAUUCAACAAUAUUGGAAUCCAAACUUAAAGAUUGCAGUUUAUUGAUAAGUCUUCUAUGUGCAACAGUGUCAAAAGCCUUACUGAAAUCUAGGUAAGCAAUGUCUACUGCACCACCCUGAUCUAUAAUUUUAGUUACCCAAUCAAAAAAAUCAAUAAGAUUAGUUUGGCAUGAUCUCCCUGAAGUAAACCCAUGUUGUCUCUGAUCUUGAAAUCCAUGUGUUUUUAGAUGUUCAACAAUCCUAUCCUUUAACAUGGUUUCCAUCACUUUCCCCACUACUGAAGUAAGGCUUACUGGCCUAUAGUUGCCCGACUCCUCCCUAUUACCUUUCUUGUAAAUGGGCACAACAUUCGCUAACUUCCAAUCUUCUGGGACUACUCCUGUUAACAAUGAUUGGUUAAAUAAAUCUGUUAAUUGUUUUGCUAGUACACCACUAAGCUCUUUCAAUAGCUUUGGGUGUAUUCCAUCAGGUCCCAUUGACUUAUUUGUCUUUACUUUUGACAGUUGAAAUAGAACCUCUUCCUCUGUAAACUCAUGUGUAAUAAAUGACUCAUUUAUCCUUUUUCUCAACUGAGGUCCUUUUCCUUCAUUUUCAUCUGUAAAUACAGAACAAAAAUAUUAAUUGAGGCAGUCAGUUAGACCUUUAUCCUCUUCUACAUAUCUUCCUUCUUUUGUUUUUAAUCUAACUAAUCCUUGUUUUACUUUUCUUUUCUCAUUUAUGUAUCUAAAAAAUGUUUUAUCCCCCUUUUUUACUGACUGUGCUAUUUUCUCUUCUGUGUGUGAUUUGGAAGCUCUUAUAACUUGCUUAGCCUCUUUCUGCCUUAUCUUAUAGAUCAUUUUGUCUUCCUCACUCUGGGUUUUUUUAUAAUUCCUAAAUGCUAACUUUUUGUUUUUAACUAUUUUGGCCACAUCUGCGGAGUUCUACAGUGGUUUCUUGAUUUUUUUUGCUUUUACUGACAAGCCUAAUGCAAUUUUCUGUUGCCUUCAAUAGUGCAACUUUUAAAUAAUCCCAUUUCUCUUGGACUCCAUUUAAAUUGCUCCAGUCUGAUAAUGACUCCUCUACACAUAUUCUAAUUUUAGAAAAGUCUGUUUUUCUAAAGUCUAAAACUUUUGUUUUCGUGUGGUGUGACUCAGUUACUGUUGUUAUAUUAAACCACACUGACUGAUGAUCACUGGCUCCUAAACUUUCGACUACAGUAAUAUCUGAAACCAAAUCUCCAUUUGUUAACACUAAAUCUAGUAUGGCCUCUUUACGAGUUGGCUCCUCAACAACUUGAUUUAGAGACAAUCCCAGUAGGGUGUUUAGAAUAUGUGUGCUCCUGGCACAAGUAGCUAAUUUUGUUUUCCAAUUUACAUCAGGAAGAUUAAAGUCACCCAUAAUGAUAACUUCCCCCUUCGUUGUCAUUUUAGCUAUUUCCUCGACUAGUAGAUUAUCUAACUCUUCAAUUUGUCCUGGGGGCCUAUAAAUCACACCUACACGAGUUACUGUGUGAUUACCAAAUUCUAACGUAACCCAAACGGACUCUAUGUUUGUCUCACUAACUUUUAUUAGGCUAGAUUUUAUGCUAUCCUUCACAUACAGGGCCACCCCUCCCCUUUCUUGCCUUCCCUAUCUUUUCUAUAUAAAGAGUACCCUGGUAUUGCUAUGUCCCAGUCAUUUUUCUCAUUAUACCAUGUCUCAGUAACAGUGACUAAAUCUACACUAUCAGUUUUAUUAACCAAUGGGCAAGAAGAAAGUACAUUGUUUAGUAAAGCAAUGUAUUUCUCUUCCCAAGUGACACCUAGACAGAUAAAAUAUAACAACAGGUUCACACUCCCUAUUUUAGCAGAACUGUCAUCCUUUAGGGACUUUGCAUCAUUUAUAAAGACCUUUGACGGUGACAUUGUCUCUGGGGUCCGGUGGCAUGGGAAGAGAGGGUUGCAAGCAUAGCAGAGAUUUACUUACCUGAACCUUUCCCUCCUGGGCUCCUCCAUCCUCUUCCGACUGAUUCUCGUCUGCUCCUCGCGCUUCUCGCACGCGCAAGAGUACAGUAUUGAGGUCUUUGGAUAGAUAUAACCAAUUUCCCUGCAGCCACUGGUGAAGGCUGGGGUAUUGACUUGUCUUGACGGUGGUAGCUCCGCCCAGUGUCAAGAAGUGUCAGGUGUAGGAAAUAUACUGAGAAAAAAAAGUCCCUACUAUGUCUUAGUAAAUCUCUCCAUUGUGUUUGAUUUUCAGUGCAAUUCCAACACAAUCAAUAUGAGUAUUUUAUAAAGAUUUUAUUUCUUUGACAGGUGACAGCGCCGCUUAAAAAUAGGACUGUUUUUUCUAUGUUAUUUUCUAUAAACAUGUUUUCAUGUGGUGUGGAUUUCUGAGGUAAACAAGUACUAAACAAGGAUAUUGAAAAAAAAAAAGUAAUUUUUUCCAACACCAUAUAUCAUCAUUUUUCAUUUAUUAUAGCCCACAAUAGAGACUUCACAUGAAACACAUCAGCAAAAACUAAACAGAAAUGAAAAUACAAGUGGAUUUUCUUGACAGAUUGUGG